GAUGAACGCUAGCUACAGGCUUAACACAUGCAAGUCGAGGGGUAACAAGAGGAAAGCUUGCUUUCCUUGUUGACGACCGGCGCACGGGUGAGUAACGCGUAUCCAACCUGCCUAUAACUAGGGAAUAACCUUGCGAAAGUAAGACUAAUACCCUAUGACUUCCUUUGAUGACAUCAGAUUAGGAAUAAAGAUUUAUCGGUUAUAGAUGGGGAUGCGUCUGAUUAGCUUGUUGGCAGGGUAACGGCCCACCAAGGCAACGAUCAGUAGGGGUUCUGAGAGGAAGGUCCCCCACAUUGGAACUGAGACACGGUCCAAACUCCUACGGGAGGCAGCAGUGAGGAAUAUUGGUCAAUGGGCGGAAGCCUGAACCAGCCAAGCAGCGUGCAGGAUGACGGCCCUAUGGGUUGUAAACUGCUUUUAUACAGGAAUAAAGUUAGCCACGUGUGGUUAUUUGUAGGUACUGUAUGAAUAAGGACCGGCUAAUUCCGUGCCAGCCGCCGCCGUAA
rnacentral:rRNA from 1 species